rnacentral:rRNA from 1 species
UGGGGAAUUUUGGACAAUGGGGGAAACCCUGAUCCAGCCAUCCCGCGUGUGCGAUGAAGGCCUUCGGGUUGUAAAGCACUUUUGGCAGGAAAGAAACGUCAUGGGUUAAUACCCCGUGAACCUGACGGUACCUGCAGAAUAAGCACCGGCUAACUACGUGCCAGCAGCCGCGGUAAUACGUAGGGUGCAAGCGUUAAUCGGAAUUACUGGGCGUAAAGCGUGCGCAGGCGGUUCGGAAAGAAAGAUGUGAAAUCCCAGAGCUCAACUUUGGAACUGCAUUUUUAACUACCGGGCUAGAGUGUGUCAGAGGGAGGUGGAAUUCCGCGUGUAGCAGUGAAAUGCGUAGAUAUGCGGAGGAACACCGAUGGCGAAGGCAGCCUCCUGGGAUAACACUGACGCUCAUGCACGAAAGCGUGGGGAGCAAACAGG